rnacentral:rRNA from 1 species
GACGAACGCUGGCGGCGUGGAUUAGGCAUGCAAGUCGAACGGUAUCAUCCUUUCGGGGGUGAGAGAGUGGCGAACUGGUGAGUAACACGUAGGUUAUCUACCCUCAAGACGGGGACAACCCAGGGAAACUUGGGCUAAUACCGGAUGUGAGCAACUUUUAGUUGUUUGAAAGGUGGCGUAAGCUGUCGCUUGGGGAUGAGCCUGCGUCCUAUUAGUUAGUUGGUGAGGUAACGGCUCACCUAGGCAAUGAUAGGUAGGCGGCCUUAACGGGUGGUCGCCCACACUGGGAUUGAGAUACGGCCCAGACUCCUACGGGAGGCAGCAGUCGAGAAUAGUCUACAAUGGUCGGAAGACUGAUAGUGCGACGCCGCGUGAACGAUGAAUCCCUUCGGGGUGUAAAGUUCUUUUAUAUGUAGCAGUGCUUCUUAUAUUAACAGUAUGGGGAGAGAGAUAUUAGCAUAUGAAUAAGCAACGGCUAACUCCGUGCCAGCAGCCGCGGUAAACUCGU